GGCUGGUUGGACUGUGGUCUUGGUGCCUCGCAGUUACUCUGCACUGGUUAUGCAUUUAUUACCCUCUUUUCUAGUUACCUUUGGCUAGUGGGUCUUCCCACUAGGUAUUUGUCCUUAAUUGUACCACCUAAGGCAAAUGGAUGCAAAAUGCAUUCUGCCCACUCACUGUCUGGGCCUUCCCCACUCUAGUCUUCGCACAUUCCUUCAAGAAUGUAGUUACCGUCUGGUAAGAUGUCAGUGCAAAUGUGAAGAAAAUAGGCAUCGGACUAGGCUUUGGUUUGCCACAAGUGGCAGCUGCCUAUAUCAAUUACAUUUAUUAAUUUUGCUUUUCAUUUUCCCAGUUCCUCUUAGCUCCCCUGUUGAAAUGUUGAGAUUUUGGCUGUCAGAGGCAACUGCAACAUUGCCUUACGGACUUGUGGAGGAGGGGAACUGCUCAGUGUAGUGUUUUCAUUUUCAGAACCAAGUAAUCUAGUCACUCAUAUAUAAGAAAUGUGUCAGUCCAACUUUAAGAAAAAAAUCUAAAUCCAAGCUCCAUCAUCAGAUUUUGACAGCAUCUUGGAUUUUGAAACAACUUCAGUCUGUAAUUGGCAUUCAGAAUGCCCUUGGCAUGCCAGUCUGUGAUGGCAGUAAAGACCUGUUAAAACACUUGAGCCCAACUUUAUUAACCAAAACUGAUACCACCACCUUUAUCUUCUAAAUAAAGUCCACUUUAUUUUUAUUUUCAACAUUUUGCCGCUUCAUUUUUGGUUCCAGACGGUGUCACCUCCUUGGAGGUGAAAUGAGUUGUUUGAAAGAAGCUGGUGCGUGUGGUGAUAGAUGUGUGAGUUGGGGAGAGGAAGGACACAUCUGUCUUAAAAAUUAGCUCUACGUAGUACAAUGGGAAAUGAAUGAAAGUUUUCUACAAAUGAGGUAGUGAAAAAUGACUAUGUGGAGGAGGUUUCCUGUCCAGAGAGAUCUGAAGCUGCUGGAGAUUGUCCUCUGUCUUGUGCAUAUUUUGCAGGCUAAUGAUCUCGUCUAUUUAAUGGCUUAUCCAAAGGUUGGAUUUUUACUUAGUUUGCAGCGUGUAUUUAAUUUCUGCUUCCACUUCCCCCCCCCGCCCCAGAGACUUGUAGAGGAUAGAACACUGACUUGAGAUUAAGAAACUGGGUCCUUUCCUUCACCCUGCUGUUUAUUAGUGCAGCAAGAUGCCUGCAGGCUACUUUAUAAAAAAAUGCACUUUCUUAGUUUAUGUUGGGCAAGUAAAAUGAGGGCAGACCUUCAUUUUCCUACCUUAGCCUCCAUGUGGCCUUUCACCAUUUCUAAUUGCACACCCCUGCAGUAAGGAAGUUUGGAUCAUGCGUACCCCAGGUGUUGAUAAAUUAUAUACCUGUACUCCUGUACCCAUAUAUUGUGUAACAAGACACAAAAAUAGAUAAUUAAAAAGCAAUUACAUG
rnacentral:lncRNA from 1 species